rfam:Vitis vinifera, whole genome shotgun sequence of line PN40024, unoriented chromosome 17, chr17
GACUCUCGGCAACGGAUAUCUAGGCUCUCGCAUCGAUGAAGAACGUAGCAAAAUGCGGUGGGGGGGGGGGGGGGAUUGAAGCUCUUGAAACAAAGUAAAGGAAUCA